UUACCCGACUUAGCUGAGAGGUGGUGCAUGGCCGUCGUCAGUACCGUACUGUGAAGCAUCCUGUUAAGUCAGGCAACGAGCGAGACCCACGUCCACAGUUGCCAGCAUACCCUCCGGGGUGAUGGGUACACUGUGGAGACCGCCGCUGCUAAAGCGGAGGAAGGAGUGGGCAACGGUAGGUCAGUAUGCCCCGAAUCUCCCGGGCUACACGCGGGCUACAAUGGUUGGUACAAUGGGCAUCUACCCCGAAAGGGGAAGGAAAUCUCUUAAAGCCAAUCGUAGUUCGGAUUGAGGGCUGCAACUCGCCCUCAUGAAGCUGGAAUCCGUAGUAAUCGCGUUUCAACAGAACGCGGUGAAUACGUCCCUGCUCCUU
rnacentral:rRNA from 1 species